rfam:Lactobacillus acidipiscis strain DSM 15353 Scaffold75, whole genome shotgun sequence.
UCUAUCGUGAGGUAGAAUCUGAAGGAAGUCCUAGACGAAACAUCGAAUC